rnacentral:rRNA from 1 species
GAACCAGUACUGUGAAGGAAAGGCGAAAAGAACCCCGGGAGGGGAGUGAAAUAGAUCCUGAAACCGCAUACAUACAAACAGUAGGAGCCCGCAAGGGUGACUGCGUACCUUUUGCAUAAUGGGUCAGCGACUUACGUUCAAUGGCAAGCUUAACCGAGUAGGGGAGGCGCAGCGAAAGCGAGUCCGAACAGGGCGACAUGAGUCGUUGGGCGUAGACCCGAAACCAGAUGAUCUAUCCAUGGCCAGGCUGAAGGUGUGGUAACACACACUGGAGGGCCGAACCGACUAGUGUUGCAAAAUUAGCGGAUGAGCUGUGGAUAGGGGUGAAAGGCUUAACAAAUCUGGAGAUAGCUGGUUCUCCCCGAAAACUAUUGAGGUAGUGCCUCGUGUAUGGCUCCAGGGGGUAGAGCACUGUUAUGGCUAGGGGGACAUGGCGUCUUACCAAACCAUGGCAAACUCCGAAUACUUGGAAGUAAGAGCACGGGAGACAGAGCACCGGGUGCUAACGUCCGGACUCAAGAGGGAAACAACCCAGACCGCCGUUUAAGGUCCCAAAUAUUGACUAAGUGGAAAACGAAGUGUGAAGGCUAAGACAGUCAGGAAGUUGGCUUAGAAGCAGCCAUCCUUCAAAGAAAGCGUAAUAGCUCACUGAUCGAGUCUUCCUGCGCGGAAGAUGUAACGGGGCUAAGUCAAUAACCGAAGCCGCGGAUUCGCAGCAAUGCGAGUGGUAGGGGAGCGUUCUGUAAGCCUGCGAAGGCGGAUCCGCGAGGACCGCUGGAGGUAUCAGAAGUGCGAAUGCUGACAUGAGUAACGUUAAAGCGGGUGAAAAGCCCGCUCGCCGCAAGCCCAAGGUUUCCUGCUCUACGUUCAUCGGAGCAGGGUGAGUCGGCCCCUAAGGUCAGGCUGAGAAGCGUAGCUGAUGGGAAGCUGGUUAAUAUUCCAGCACCGAUUUCAAGUGCGAAGGGGGGACGGAGUCCUGAAGGUCAUCCGGGUGUUGGAUAUCCCGGUUUACGAGCGUAGGAGGUUGACAGGCAAAUCCGUCAACGGAUCUCCAAGGCGAAGGAUCGAGGUUGAGAGAUCAACUGAAGUGACUGAAUGGGCUUCCAGGAAAAGCCUCUAAGCAUCAGCUUGGAAUUGACCGUACCGCAAACCGACACUGGUGGGCGAGCUGAAUAUGCUCAGGCGCUUGAGAGAACUCAGGAGAAGGAACUCGGCAAAUUGACACCGUAACUUCGGGAUAAGGUGUGCCUUUGUAGCGUGAAGAGAGAAACACUCGGAGCGUGAAGAGGCCUCAGAGAAUCGGUGGCUGCAACUGUUUAUUAAAAACACAGCACUCUGCAAAGACGAAAGUCGACGUAUAGGGUGUGAUGCCUGCCCGGUGCUGGAAGAUUAAUUGAUGGGGUGCAAGCUCCUGAUCGAAGUCCCAGUAAACGGCGGCCGUAACUAUAACGGUCCUAAGGUAGCGAAAUUCCUUGUCGGGUAAGUUCCGACCUGCACGAAUGGCAUAAUGAUGGCCACACUGUCUCCUCCUGAGACUCAGUGAAGUUGAAAUGUUUGUGAUGAUGCAAUCUCCCCGCGGCUAGACGGAAAGACCCCAUGAACCUUUACUGCAGCUUUGCAUUGGACUUUGAACCGAUCUGUGUAGGAUAGGUGGGAGGCAGUGAAGCUAGGACGCCAGUCUUAGCGGAGCCAACCUUGAAAUACCACCCUGAUUUGUUUGAGGUUCUAACCUAGGAGCGUAAUCCGCUUCGGGGACCGUGCAUGGUAGGCAGUUUGACUGGGGCGGUCUCCUCCUAAAGGGUAACGGAGGAGUGCGAAGGUACGCUAGGUACGGUCGGAAAUCGUGCUGAUAGUGCAAUGGCAAAAGCGUGCUUGACUGCGAGACCGACAAGUCGAGCAGAUACGAAAGUAGGUCAUAGUGAUCCGGUGGCUCUGCAUGGAAGGGCCAUCGCUCAACGGAUAAAAGGUACUCUGGGGAUAACAGGCUGAUACCGCCCAAGAGUUCAUAUCGACGGCGGUGUUUGGCAC